rnacentral:lncRNA from 1 species
GGUUAAGGCAGUUCUGACUUUUAUCAUAUGGGCUGUAGACUUGUAUCCUGAAUUUCUUCAACAUUGUGAAUGAGAGUCCCCUGAGUUGUCACAUUAGAGAAUUUUGUUAAUUAUUUUUAGACUUUGAUUAACUUAUCUCUUUGAAAAGUUCCUUAGCUCUUGAAACCACUUAGCUCGGUUAUUCCCAAUUACUCCUAUUACCAACUUGCUCCAGAACUUAAUUCCUCGGAAGGCUACAAAUCUUCUAAUUACAGCCUAAACGUAUUUCAUUAUACACACUUAUUCUUGUGUCACCAUUGACCUUCAGUAUAAACAGGUUUCAUCUGACCCUGAGGUAUUUGUAGGCAAUUUUUAAGCUGUGUUGAACGAGGGCAUGGAAGAAUGAUAUUCUGCAAAUCCUUUUCAAUAACCUGUUAUUGCAGGGGGAUUUGAUGGCUUGUGGUCCUUCACGCUUGUAUUGUGGGCAGUGAUUUCACCUGUAAAUGCCUUCAUUGAGUUGAUGAAUUCAUUAAACCUGGUAGUUUCAUAUGCCUUUCCUACAGUUCCAGGAAAAGAAAUACCAUUGUAUAAUAUUACAGAACGGUUCAGGUUGGAAGGGACCUCAGGAAGUGUAUCUCUAGGUUGACUUCCUACUCAAAACAAGGUCAGCUGUGAGAUCAAAUGAGAUUGCUUAGGGCUUUAAUCAGUCAGGUCUUGAAAACACCCAGGGAUGCAGAAGCAUAGUCUGUGCAACCUGCUCCAAUGUUUCUGUCCUCUUGUGGGUGUGGGGAGGCUGCUGCUUGGUCCCUCUGAAGCUGUAUCUUCUUCAGGCUGAAUGCUGACUUCAUUCUAGUUUGUUGAUGUCUUCAUUAUAUUGGGAAAAUGAAAAAUUUGUGGUAUACUAAAUGUGAUCUAACAAGUAAAGGGGGCUGGUCUAGCCUGUGGUACUGUUAGAGCAUACUGCUGGCUUGUGUUCAGCUCACAGUUUGCUAAAACCCUCUGAUCUUCUCCCACCGAACUGCUCCUCGGCCAGUCAGUUCCCAGCCUGUAUCACUGCAAGGGUUUUUUCCCUUCUAAAGUGCUGGACUUCACAUUUGUCCUUGUUGAACUUCAUGAGAUUCCUGUCAGCACAUUCCUCUAGCCUGUCUAGAUCCAUCAGAAUGGUAACCCUGCCAUUAAGCAUACCAAUUUAUUUCUCCUCCAGUUUGAUGUCAUCUGUGACCUUUGUGAAUAAGUACUACAUUGCCUCCUUCAGGAAACUGAUAAAGAUUUUAAGCAGGACAUACCCGCAAGUAGAACCCUUUGGCACUUCAGUUGUUAUUGGCCUGCUGUCAGAAUAUGCCCUAUUAACCACAACCCUCCAAAUCUGACCUUCCCAUGAGGUUAUUACUUAUUUGAUUAUUCAUCCAUCCGGAAGGUAAUGUUCUAAUUUGGAUACAGAAAGAUGUCAGGAGAGAAUGUCAAUAUGCUUGCUGAAGUCAAGGUAAAUGAGAUCUUUUGCUCUUCCUUCCUAUACACAUCCAUGCAUUUACUCAUGGAAGACAAACUGUUUGGUCAGGCAUGGCUUGCCUUUCUUCAGUUCAUAGUGAUUGCCUCCAUUCAGCACCUUCUCUGUGCACUCAGAAAUGUGUUCCAGGAACCUUUGCUCCAUGACUUCCCUGGAGUCUGAAGUGAGACUAACCAUAUUUUUGACACCUUUUUAAAAUGUGUUCAAUUUUUGCCUUUUUUUUUUCCUCUCCAGUCAUUGAGGAUCUCUGCCAGUCUCUAUAAACUCAAAAAAUGUUAGGCAGCCUUACAAGGGCCUUGCAAUCAUUUCUUGGCAUCCUAGGGGACAGCGUUUUUGGUUCCAUAGAACUCUCUAAGUGUCUCGUUCCUUCAAGCAAUUCCUGACUCAGUCUUUACCCACUGUUGCUGAUUUGUUUUCUGUUUAGACUCUUUUUCUAAGCACAGAAGCUUCAGAGAUGUUUCUGAUGAAGACAGGAUCAGAAAUCAUUAAGUAUCUCAGACUUAUCUGUGUCUCUAGUUAUUAAAUUUUCUAUCCCAUUCAGCAGUGGUCACAAAUUUUCCUUGUUAAGUGCUUCUAGUGUUAAUGCAUUUGUGACCUUUUCGGUUGGGUUUUUUGUUGUUGUUGUUUUUUACUUAAUCUUACAACCUCUAAUUAACAUGAAGUAUAUAUUUAGAAAGACACUCUAAAUUGGUGUCCUUUUCUAUUCAGGUUUUAAAGGAAGACAAAACUAGAGAUGUAGUAAAUGUUUCAGUGUGGAAAAGAUGAAUUCUGCUCUGUCUUUUGCAUAUUCCUGUUCUAUAACUAGUGAAAUAGAGACAUGAUCUUAAAGUUUUUCUGUACAAUUUAACUUGUGAGCAGAUGUUCAGAAAGACUUCAGAAAAUAUAAUUAUUAAGACAAGUUAAAUCUUAGAUUUUCUUUCUUCCAUCAAAAUCUUCAAAAAAAGAUUUUAUUUGUGCCUAUUCUAUAAAAAGAAAAAGAGGAAAGAGAAUUAAGGGUUUAGCUUGAAUUAGCUGGAAACUUGACUUUCACAAAUAAAUCCAGCCUUGGUCUAGUUUAAAGAAAGGAUCAAGUCCUACAUGGUUGUGAGAAAUCAGGAAACAGAAAUGUGUAAACAACUGCAUAAAAGUUUUAAAGAAAAAAAAAUAACAUUUCUGCAAAAUUGGCAUAGUUAUAGUGAAAUGUUAAGUGAAAAUCCUAAAUUGCUUCAUCUUUUGUUUUUUGUAGUGAUAUGUGUAUCCUAGAGGUUUUUUUGAAUGUCUCCAAAAACACAAUUCAGUUCUUCUAAAGUAGUGGUGAUGAGUUCUAAUUGCUUUUAAAUUACUUAUUUAGCCCAAGAAAGUUGGGGCUCACCAACAUAUGGAACAGAAAUAAAAUGUUAACCACAUGUCUGAGAUGCUGGACGACUACCUGGGAGAAAUGAAAAACUGCAGAGCUCAACUAAUAGCGAUUGUCAACAGAGGCAGCGGUUUCCAGGCUCUGUUUUUUUUUGUUGUUGUUGUUGUUUGCUUGUUUGUUUGCUUGCUUGCUUUUGACAUCUUUGAUUUUUCUUGAGGUUUUGGGGUCUGCGACUUCCUGGGAAUCCUCCAAGGAUCAGGAAGGUGGCAGCUGCUGCUAGGUUUCAACUGGGAAGCAAACUGAUGUGCUCUUUCUCAAUCAAGGUCUUCAAGGUCAGCUGAUACUUUAGGAUCAACAAGAAUGUGAGGAAA